rnacentral:rRNA from 1 species
UACGUAGGGUGCGAGCGUUGUCCGGAAUUAUUGGGCGUAAAGAGCUUGUAGGCGGUUUGUCGCGUCUGCUGUGAAAAUCCGGGGCUCAACCCCGGACUUGCAGUGGGUACGGGCAGACUAGAGUGUGGUAGGGGAGACUGGAAUUCCUGGUGUAGCGGUGAAAUGCGCAGAUAUCAGGAGGAACACCAAUGGCGAAGGCAGCACUCUGGGACGUGACUGACGCUGAGAAGCGAAAGCAUGGGGAGCGAACAGG